rnacentral:rRNA from 1 species
UGCCCAAGAGAUCGGGAUAACACCUGGAAACAGAUGCUAAUCCCGGAUAACAACAGAUGAUGCCUAUCAACUGUUUAAAAGAUGGUUCUGCUAUCACUCUUGGAUGGACCUGCGGUGCAUUAGCUAGUUGGUAGGGUAACGGCCUACCAAGGCGAUGAUGCAUAGCCGAGUUGAGAGACUGAUCGGCCACAUUGGGACUGAGACACGGCCCAAACUCCUACGGGAGGCAGCAGCA